rfam:Paracoccus sp. SM22M-07 scaffold18, whole genome shotgun sequence.
AGAUGCGGGGAUCGCCCCCCGUCAGCGCGUCGCGCCCACGGGGGCAAAACCG